rnacentral:lncRNA from 1 species
GUUGAAUAUUAAUCACACUACUUCAUCUCCACUUGAGUAGAUCUCUAUAAAUACUCUCAUGCUACCUUUAUUUGCUUUAGUAUAUGUCUAGGUUUGGAGUAGUUUCAUUUAUCUCUUAAAUAAGCAUGGUGCUUAGUUUAGGAAUGAUGAUCUUACUUCCAAGGGAUUUUAAAUUAAGCAUGGUGCUUAGGUUAAAAUGCCCUCCUAAAUCAAAUUAGACAUGGUGUCUAGGUUGAUUUUUGAGCCGAUAGUAUGCUAUAGUAGAUAUUGGAUAUUUUGUUGGACUAACCCCUGCAGGAAAACUUUCAAUAUCGACCUAGGAAGUCCUGAGAUAAACUCACAUCAGAGACAAAGAGAGAGACACAUGAAGUUUAACAAUUUACACAAGGAAGACAUAGCUCAUAAGAGAUGAUCCAUGGAGGGUGCUACAAACACGAUGCACAACCGCUAAGAAAGGAAAGCUUCCACAAGGUGAGAUUGUACCAUCACUCUUCAAUUAAGGCAACACCUUAAGGUACUUGACUAUCACUUUUAUAAGCUUCUCCUUGGUUCUGGCGUUCAUAUAAAUAAAAGAGACAAACAUGUAUGAUUUAUAACUCCAAAUUAACCAACCCCACUGAUUCAGCAUGUUUAGUCCCUUAAUCUUUGAUCCCCACACUCCUAGUCAUAUGAGCUAAAAUGUUGCACAUUUAAUCUUUAAGAAGAUAUAAAGAAAAAGACAUAUAUAUAGAUAGAUUAUCUUUCCAUUAGGUUGAGCGAUCUGAUCCGACAAAUGUUUUAAAUGCUACACUCAUGAACUUAUCAUUCAUCAACUUUGUCUUGCUCACCAUGCUUAAGGUUAGAGAAGAACAAAUACACUUUUGGUUCUAUUGAUGUUUUCCACCAACAGGGCCCAUGCACUUGAUCUCUGCCUUGUCUCUAUGAGCAGGUACGAGCACAAACACACCGAGUAAGAUACUGCCAACACCGCACUUCGAACUACUGGGCAAACGAAGAACAUGGGUGACACCGUAUUAAGAGGUGCAGACGUCAGGUCCACACCUGAAUCAAAUGACGCACCUGAAGAAUGAACACUGUGAGAUGUCUUGUUCAGAAGACUUAAAACAUUGAAUCCUCGCUGAAAGGUAAAAUCGGUAGUUAUCCAUAUUUAUCCUUUCUGCAUUCGCUUUUCCCUUUAAUUAUUUACUUUCCUUAAAUAGAUUAUUAGUUAAUCAUGCUAUCUCGAAAAUAAAAUAAAAAUGUUAAAAAAUACUAAGCCCCAUGUGAGUAUGCUCGUGGCAUGAAACCCAUAAGUACAUUCACUGUGGUGGCGUAAAAAUAAAAUAAAUAUAUUCCUGUCCUAUAAAAAUGAAAAUAUAAAAAUAAGAUUGUGAUCCCAUUAAAGAGAAUAACAUUUAUUAGAGGAAGCUCAACAUGAUAACGGCUAAGAGAUUUUAUGCUAACACUUAACCAGUUCCACAAAGCUUUGUUGUCUAUUUGAGCUCCACAUAAUUCAAGGAUCAAAGAAGACUAGCAGACGGAGGACAUUCUAAUCGCUGUCAGGGUGCUGCCGACAUUCAAAUACACCUCCGCCACCUGCUAGCUACAUCAAAAGAAAUUACGUCAAAAUUCAGCUUGGGGGAGAGCACCCCCGUUUAUCCAGCUAAGUGUUUCUACUCGCAUUUAUACUCAAAUAAUAAAAAGAUGCAUAAUCAUAAAAACCUAAAUAAAGAUUUUGUGCUUAUAUAAAUAUCUUUGCUUAGUUUGCUAAAUAAAUAAAUAAAUAAAUAAAGUUUGCUAUGUACCCUCAUGAUAAGCUCUCACAUGAAAAUGAUGAAUAGCUGCUUUGCCUAGUUCUCAAAAUUGAAAUCUCUCUCAAGUUUAGGCAUGACUGUUAUGAAUUAAGAUUUGCUCUAAACCUGAACUUGUGGGAAGAGUACUUGAUCUAAAGUCUAAGUCGUUAACGGAUAUGAUAUGGGAAGGUUGAGUUACUAUUUAUCUGUUCCUAGAGAUGCUAGAAAUCUAGAGAAUUUUAUCUUUGAAAAUAUUUAAAAUGUUGCAUGAUGAGUUCCUGUAUGAUGAGAGUUUAAAAUCCUACCACAGCUAUAUAUACAUGCCUAAUAGACUAUGAACCAUACAUUUACUUUUUACUACUUAUGAGCAUUGAGUGUGGUCAAGCUAUGUAGACCCUUAGGAGCUCGUCAUGUGGUUAAAAUCAAGAUUCACUUGCACGUUCACUCAUACAUGCUACUUCUACUCCGGAAGUACGCAUCCACAUACAUCCACUCCUUUCCAUCUCUAGAUUCACCUAAAAUUAUUCUACUCCUAUCCAGGAGAGAAUAGCCAAAAACAUUAUCCUAUCCCUGUUAUUCUCCGUGAAAUAAAUGCUCUUGAUAUUUUGGUUACUACCACUUGCUACAUUAUUAUAGGAGGGUGAGUGCUCUGAAAAAAAAGAAGAAGAGUGAAUAUGAGGAAAAAAAAGGGGCAAGUGCCCGGAACCUCGAAAGAAAAGAAAAAGUGAGACGAGAGGUAAAAAUGGACAAGUGUCUGACAGUAGAAUUAGGGGUACAAGAUACCCACCUGAGAGAAAACAAAAAAAAGAGAAGAAAGAAAAUAUAGAGCAUCUCAUUCCCCUCAAAAAGCUUCAAAGUGCAAGAAAGGUAUGUAUCCCCUCAAAAGAGCAAAAGUAGAAUUAGACUUUCACCAAUGUUUUCACCAUCAUCACCAUACACCAUUCAUUCGCCACUCAUGCACAUCUUGAUUUGACUUAUUGACUCGUUUCUCUGGAUCCAUGGUUUGACUAUGCAAUAAAUGUCUUUUAAGUAUGUAUUAGCUGUCUCCCACCUAUGAGCUCCAGAUAUCAAACCUUAUUAGAGUAGGGUGAGAGAGAAGGCAAUAUCACUAUGCCUCAUACCACAAAUACAACAUACUUUGAGAGAAGGCAUAUAUUAUCACUGCCUUGGUAAGGAUCUAGAAAUACCACAAAAGAGAGACUAGAGAGAAUCAUACAAGGAAUCUCUGAGUUUUAUUUGAAAAUCUACAAAAACUCCAGAGCUAUAGUUGAUCAAAGAACAAGAGACAUGGUGCUUGACUUGACCGUUCUAUCUUUUAACUGCUCAAGACACAAGUGACUGUUGCAAGCCCCAUGGUGAAAGGUAAUAUGAGUAAGUUUAAAUCUUAACAGUUUACCCUAACCUAGAGAUGAGAUCUUGUUUAAAUGCAUGUGUACCUUUAAGGCAUAAAACCACUGCAGAAACUCUUGAGUCCAUCCUUGCUCAGGGACGAGCAAGAGGUAAGCUUGGGGGAGUUGUUGACGGUCCUUAAGUACCAAAUAUAAUCAUCAAAUAAACAAAGAAAAGGAUCCAAAUACAACCAACAUCUAAACUUAGGGUUUUAUCUGACAGAAUUCCACGAGUUUUGGUGUUUGUCUAUUUCUGCAGGGGGUUAUCAGGAAAUAAGGAAGAAAGGCCCACAUGUUGGGUUUACAUAGAGAUAUUAACGUGCCGUGCAAUUUUCUAUCAUCUAGCAGACUCCAAAAGCCACG